GUAAUGCAUCGGAACGUGCCCAGUCGUGGGGGAUAACGCAGCGAAAGCUGUGCUAAUACCGCAUACGAUCUCUGGAUGAAAGCGGGGGACUCAGCAAUGGGCCUCGCGCGAUUGGAGCGGCCGAUAUCAGAUUAGGUAGUUGGUGGGGUAAAGGCUCACCAAGCCAACGAUCUGUAGCUGGUCUGAGAGGACGAUCAGCCACACUGGAACUGAGACACGGUCCAGACUCC
rnacentral:rRNA from 1 species